rnacentral:rRNA from 1 species
AUUGAACGCUGGCGGCAUGCUUUACACAUGCAAGUCGAACGGUAACAGGCCGCAAGGUGCUGACGAGUGGCGAACGGGUGCGUAAUGCAUCGGAACGUGCCCAGUCGUGGGGGAUAACUACUCGAAAGAGUAGCUAAUACCGCAUACGAUCUAUGGAUGAAAGCGGGGGACCGUAAGGCCUCGCGCGAUUGGAGCGGCCGAUGUCAGAUUAGGUAGUUGGUGGGGUAAAGGCUCACCAAGCCAACGAUCUGUAGCUGGUCUGAGAGGACGACCAGCCACACUGGGAAUGAGACACGGCACAGACUCCUACGGGAGGCAGCAGUGGGGAAUUUUGGACAAUGGGCGCAAGCCUGAUCCAGCAAUGACGCGUGCAGGAAGAAGGCCUUCGGGUUGUAAACUGCUUUUGUACGGAACGAAACGGCUCUGGUUAAUACCCGGGGCUAAUGACGGUACCGUAAGAAUAAGCACCGGCUAACUACGUG